rnacentral:lncRNA from 1 species
UUUGCAUGUGAUUUGCAUGUGAUUUGCAUGUAGGCCCAGAGAUUGCUGAAGGAUGCUGCUGCUAACAGGUAAGGAGAACACACAAAGGAGCAGUGACAUGGCUGGGAGUUCUGGAGUACACAGCCUUGAACCUGUAUCUCUGGGGAGAAACUGCAAUGGGAAUCACAAAAUUUCUUGGGGACCAUGAUGUAUCCACACACCUCUUCAUGAUCCUGGGACAACGGCAGCUAAAAUUCACCCUGGUUGGAAACCUAGUAAUCAUACCUUGCUUUGGAGGAGAAAAAUUUCUGUGGGGAAGGAAAUUGCUUUAUCGAUUCUACCUUGAAACCACAGAUACAGAGAUGAGCAUCCACAGCACCCAGAGGCCAGUGCCAGGCCCAGCUCAAGAGCAGGCAGAGUCAUCUUGGAAGACCUGGAAGAAAUAUUAAUGCUGCCCUUGAGAAUGGCUUGCUUUGUCAAGUAAAUCCUGUGGACAAGAUACUUUUUCCUCUUGGAGUGUACCAAGGGCUAUUCUCUGUGGCUGCAUAGGUACAGUCCAGCAAAUGACACAAGUAAGCACUGAUGCUGUAUCUUUGCUGUCAUCUCCAGUCAUGCUGUGUAUUUGUAAGCUU